CAGAAUUCAUUCACUCAUAAACAUUUAUUGAGCACCUACUAUGAACCAAGCACUGCCCCAGGGACUAAGAACGCUGUAAUGAAUGAGACAAUGCUACCAUUAUAGAGCUUACAUUCUAAUGAUGGAGACAAACAAUGAACAGGCUCAAGAUGUCUCUUACACAUCUGAAUGGAGAUGUUGCAUCAGAAGCUGGAUACAAAAGUUUGAAUUUGCUCAUGCUUCGGAAUACAGAUUUGAUGGUGAUAAACAUAUUGGUGCUACUGAAAGCCUUGAAGCUGGAUGUGAUCAUCUGAGGACUGAAAGUAGAAAAAGAAAAGAGGCACAAGAACUGAAGUGUUAUAAUAUUUAGAGGCUAAAAGGAGAAAGAGGAUAGAGUAAAAUAAUCUGAAAAAGUCUACCAAUAAGGAAGGUGGAAAAUUAGGAAAUGUGGUAUUCUAAUAGGAACCAAUUCCAAGUGAAACAAGUAUUUCAGAAAGGUGGAAGGGAUCAAAUUUAUGAAAUGCUCCUAGAGAAAUAAAAGGCUUAUGGAAGAUUGGAAGAUCAAAUGAGGUUUACUGCUGUUCUGGACCACAAAAAAGGAUACUGAAGUUGGUCCAUGGCCUGCUGGUUGAUGGUUCCCAUGCUAUUGUACACGAAGGUGCUGCUCAGGAGGAUGGCCAAGGCAAAGAUCCAGGAAUCAUUCUCAUUGUCACCCUGUAAGUCAUUGUAGAAGCCACACAGAAGAAUGACUAGCAGAAUGUACAAUCAAUUCAGAUAGCUGAAGACUGACUGAACUCCAACUCUGUCUCUCAUUAGUUGUGAAAACUUAGGUAACUCACUUCCUUAUGCAGUAUUUUUUUUCUACCUGUAGAACAAAUUUAUAAUAUUUAUGAUGUAUAAUUUAAGGUGUUAUAUAUAAAUAUAUGUCAGCAGGAAACAUAUGAGCACUUGGUAGCAGAAGCUAUUUUGAUCAGCUACUAAAAUUCAAACUGGUAUCCUAAACUUAGUUUAUAACCCUAUUCCAUUUCCAUGGCACAUCAUAGUAAGAUGUUUUUUACACAGUAGUUAAAAUAAGCUCCUUUAAUAAAAGCUUUCUAUGUCUAAGAUUUAUAAGAGUAGUAAUAUAUUAUCCUUAAUGAGCAAAGAUGUUAUCAUUAGAUUUUACACUUUGCUUCUCUUUCUACUGGUGCUGCUGUGGAUGUGAAUGUUUUUACUACCUUUGUGGGAUCCCACUGUAAAAAGUCAGACAUGUUUGUAAAAUGUCUACUGAAGUUUAUAAGCGCCUUCAGCAGCCUCACCAAAACAUUUUACUAUAAUAUGAAAGAAAAAUAACUGAAAAUAUCAUUAGCCAUUAUUUCAUAGGUUUGCCCAUAAUUAAUCAAUUGAACUUGUUGUGCACUCUGAAUGCUUAUACCACAC